AGCGCACCGCGCUGUCUCCCUCCAGGGAUCCGCACCGCCCUACAAUCCUGCUUUGUGCUGAGAUUGUAGUCCUGCAGGCGUACAACUAACAAGCUGGGUGCAGAUAAGAGACUACAGCUCCCCGCAUCCCAAGCAAAGGUCCCUCCUCUACGGAGCCCCUCCACGCGUCCACUGCGGUUCCGCCGUGCCAAGGGGAGCUUGGCUGUUCACGGGCCUCACCUGCUAGCGAGAAGAUAGCUUGGCCGGGCGGCUGAUCUCACCUUGUAAUUCUGACACUGUGUCUCCCGGGCUUGUCGGCUUCAUGACUUGUGCCCAAAGUUUGAUUUCUCGCAGACCAGGAGGACCCAUUGGACCCCCGGGCUGGCUGCAGGGCCCACACCUGGGUUAGACCUCGCACAGGGACGCUGCUGCCACUGUAAUAAAGCGUGCCUACACGCUUCUGAAACUGGUGUAGGAACAACCUCAGUUCUGUGAAAGGCGGACGCAGCAGGACAGAAUCUCCGUGGACAUCUGUCUGGAGGAGCAAUUUUACUGCGACAUUUUAAAGAAACAAAUUUAAUUGAUUUCCAAGGGUGUCCAUCGCGCUUCCUUCACUGCCUUGAUCAUGUCGGGGUCACCACCUGCGGGGGUUUGUCCUGCAGACCCUGACUCAACGACGGAUGAAUAAUGUACACUGACACAGAUCUUAUGCUUGUCAGUCCUGCUGAGCAUCCAGGCCACUUACAGACUCCAAGAAGAGUCCUGUCAGCCACGGCUCUGACUUGUUGGCCCUCCCGGCAUUUAUUUAGCACACAUUUAAUGACAGAAGUCUCAGGCUGGAAACACUCUUUUUGUAGAACAUACAAAUGGACAUUUCUAAGCACAUUGAGGCCUAUAAUGAAAAAUCAAAUAUCCCACAAUGAAAACUAGAAGGAAGCUAUCUGUGAUAAUGCUUUGUGGUGUAUGGAUUCAUCUCACUGACUGAAACCUGAGUUUUGAUUCACCAGGUUGGAAACACUCUUUUUGUAGAAUGUAUGAAGAGAUAUUUCUGAGGCCUGUUGUGAAAAACUGAGGUUUCCACAAGAAAAACUGGAAACAAGUUAUCUGAGAAAAUGCUUUAUGAUGGGUGAAUUCAUCUCACAAAAUUAAACCUUCGUUUUGAUUCAAAAGGUUGGAAUAACUUUUCUUUUCUUCUUCUUCUUCUUUUUUUUUUUUUUUUUUUGGACAGGGUCUUGCUCUGUCACCCAGGCUGAAAUGCAAUGGCACAAUCUCGGCUCACUGGUUCAAGCAAUUCUCCUGCGUCAGCCUCACAAGUAGCUGAGAAUACAGGUGCCAGCCACCACAACUGGCAGUUUUUUUGUAUUUUUAUAAAAGAUGGGGUUUCAGCAUGUUAACCAGGAUGGUCUCGAUUUGCUGACCUCCUGAUCUGCCUGCCUU
rnacentral:lncRNA from 10 species